rnacentral:tRNA from 1 species
AGCGGGAUUGUCUAGCUUGGGUCGGGCGCCGGGCUCAUAACCCGGAGAUCGGUGGUUCAAAUCCACCUUCCGCUACCA